GCUCGAUCUCAAAUCUGUCUCCAAUUCCAUCGCCGACGACCUCCGGCUCGACCUCGACUUAAUCUCCGAUUCUAACGACGGCUUCUUGCUCGACCUCGGCUGCAUCUCCGAAUUCUUCAACGCCUACGCUCUACCGGUAAAAUUCACAAUCUCAAUCACUCUAAUCAAUUUUCGCUUCUCUGGCCAAUUAUGCUUCAAACUCGAACUGAUUUCAACUUUUUAUUGUAGCACAAUUGGAGAUGUUCUUAGUUUGAAGGCCUGUUCAAUCUCAUUGGUUAUGCUUCGAUCUAUCUAUUUUUACAGAUUUACAAUAAUUUGUCCUCUAUGAGUUUGAGGAGAUAAUGCGAUAUCUAUGUGUGAUGAAUUCAAUAAUGGUUUAUAUUGGUAAAUACAGUUUUGUGGUCUUGUAUUCAAGCAUUGCAGUUUAUAUGUAUGAUGAAUUGAAUAAUUUGUGCUCUUGUAUUCAAGUGUUGCAGUUUUGUACUGGUUUAUAUUGCAUAUGCAAAUAUUAAUCCCAAUCUAUGUCAUCUAUUGAGUUCAAAAAGUGGAUUGAAUCAUGGAGUAAUAAGCAUGUACGUGGGGAUCAAAAUAUAUUGGUAAAUGCAGCACCCCCAAUUUGACCUUAUACCACCCUAACAUCUCUAAUAUGCUCACUAUUUAGGUGAACUUUUAGGUAAAAUAGUUCAGAGUAAUUGAUGAUAGGCAUUCUGCUUUACUCUGUUCAAUAGCAUCGAGCUUGUUGAUACGUUAAGACUUUCCUUCUGCCAAUAAGUGCUCCAGUAAUGUAAACAUCGCUUGCAGUUCACUUGAAAUACCUGGUUCCUUGUAUGAUCUUUUUAUUAGACUUGAAAACCAUUGUGCACAUCACAUGCAGGUACUAGACUUGGACUUCAUCAGAAUAGUUGUAGCACCAUGCAACGUAGUAAGUGUUGAAUUGCUGAUACCGAUAUAUUACGCUUGUAAUUGUUCAUUGUUUAAGAUUGGCUGCCAACCAAAAGAUUAAUUGUUUUACUACUCAAUAGAAUGUAAUUGAGCUCCUUUUGUUUCUACGUAUGAGCUUGAGGAUAUGUCUAGUUGGUGAAUUGAACAAACUUGGGUCAUGAAAUUAGAUUGGUUUAUGUAUUCCAGCUUGCUAAAGGUGCAUUAUAAAGUUGAUUUGAACAUUUGAUACAUAUCACUUUCUUAGUAUGAUUACGAAAUGUGAGAGUUGAUGUACUGUAUACAUUAUAUUAGCAUUGUCAUUUCUUAAAUUCAACGCAUUUUAACAAUUAGACCUCUUAUUGUCUCCAAUAGACCUCAUACUACCCCUAGUAGACCCGAAUAGGUGGUCAUUCUACCCUAAUAGAGACUUGGUACAAGUGACUGAAGCACACAGUUAAGUUCAAAGGUCAUACUGCCCCCAAUAAGAGGUCUUACUGACCCCAAUAUGUGGUCAUACUGCCCCUAAUAGAGACUUAUUAUAAGUGACUGAAGCACACAAUUAAGUUCAAGGGUCAUACUGCCCCUAGUAGGAGGUCCUAUUGACCCCAAUAUGAGGUCCUACUGACCCCAAUAGGUGGUCAUACUACCCCUAAUAGGGGCCUGUUAUAAGUGACUGAAGCACACAGUUAAGUUCAAGGAUCAUACUGCCCCCAAUAGGUGGUCCUACUGACCCCAGUAAGUGGUCAUACUGCCUCUAAUAGGUGGUCAUACUGUCCUCAAUAGACCCCCCGACACACCCCCUACUACCCCCAAUAAACCUCUUGACAAACUCCAUAUUGCCUCGAAUGGACCCCAAUAGACCCCUUACUGCCCUCAAUAGACACCCUAUCGCCAGAAUCCGGUCAACGGUCUUCAGACAGACUUCAUAUUGCCCCCAAUAGACACCCUACUGCCCCCAAUAGAUACCUUUUCGUCGAAAUCCGGUCAACGGUCCCCGUAUCCAAGUCAAUAGUCAUCGGAGUCUUGUUAACGGCCCCUGGAGUCCGGUCAACGGUCGCCGGAUCCCGGUCAAAAGCCGCCGGAGUCUGGUCAACGGCCCCCGGAGUAUGGUCAAUGGUCCCCGGAGCUCGGUCAACGUCAUUGGUCGUGGGAAUCCGGUUAUAAAUACUUUAUUUUAUAAUAGGCUCUUAUAAUGGUCUAUUGCAGUUUAUUUAAUUCAUUAAGGGUAUAAUUAUAUUUAUGCUGUUUAAGUUGUCUCUUGAGAAUUUUAAAAAUCUGAUUUUGUUAGUGGGAAUAAAAUUCUUAAAAUUAGGGCUAGUGGGCAUUGUCCAUUAUCUUAUAGUGUAAAUGAAAAGGAAGUGUUAAUAAUGGACCAAAGUUACCUCAUCAUAUUUCUUCCUAUGGUUUUUUUAACGGUACAUUCGUGUGCUCUACCCAAGUUACAUAUUUAUAUUAUUUGAUCGAAAAUGACAACUAAUUAAUCUUAUGAAAUAGAGCAAAUGCCCAUUUAGUACUAAUUUGAAAAGCUAAUAGCCCAUUCUAAUGAAAAUCAUUUUUCAUUGCCCAUUUACACAAAUCUUAAGAAAAAGACAAUAUUGUCCAUCAUAAAUACCAAACCUACCUCUCCUCUUUCUCAUUUACCCGCUCAGGCCUCUCUCUCUCUCUCUCNNNN
rnacentral:lncRNA from 1 species